rnacentral:rRNA from 1 species
AGCGAACGCUGGCGGCAGGCCUAACACAUGCAAGUCGAGCGCCCAGCAAUGGGAGCGGCAGACGGGAGAGUAACACGUGGGAACGUGCCCUUCAGUUCGGAACAACCAAGGGAAACUUUGGCUAAUACCGGAUACGCCCUUACGGGGAAAGAUUUAUCGCUGAAGGAUCGGCCCGCGUCUGAUUAGCUAGUUGGUGGGGUAAUGGCCCACCAAGGCGACGAUCAGUAGCUGGUCUGAGAGGAUGAUCAGCCUCACUGGGACUGAGGCACGGCCCAGACUCCUACGGGAGGCAGCAGUGGGGAAUAUUGGACAAUGGGCGCAAGCCUGAUCCAGCCAUGCCGCGUGAGUGAUGAAGGCCUUAGGGUUGUAAAGCUCUUUCGUCAGGGAAGAUAAUGACGGUACCUGAAGAAGAAGCCCCGGCUAACUUCGUGCCAGCCGCCGCAGUAAGAC